UGAGCCAUCAGCCCAGAGCCUGACGCGGGGCUCGAACUCACGGACCACGAGAUCGUGACCUGGCUGAAGUCGGACGCUUAACCGACUGCGCCACCCAGGCGCCCCAUUACCUGACUUUUUAAAUGAGCAUUUUCCGGUGGGGUGAUUAAUGGUUCUUAUAACAAAGUCUAGACAUUACAGAAAUACAUAGAUAGUGAGAUGAAGGUCCCUCAUAAUUCCACCCCAGUGAUGGUCACACGUGUUGUAUAUGUUUACACACACACACAAAUAUAAGUAUUGUUACACAUUAAUCUACCCAUGGUGUUUCCGGUAAAAUAGACUCCUCUUACCCACAGUGUCUGCACCUAAAAUUGGUAAAUUUUAGGCAGCUUUCCAUGCUGGCGGUAGGCAUCCCUGCCGCCCUUUCUAAAAGCCACGUGGUUUGCCCGUGUGUGUCUGAGCAUGAUUUAUCUUCCUAUCCUUUAUAGAUGAAUGCAUCUUUUUUUUUCUUUUUUCCAAUUAUGAGAGAUGUUGCAGUGAAUACAUUUAUAUACAGUUCUUGGCAUACUUGCCCAGUUUUCUGAGAUGGAAUCCUGGUUGAUUUUCUGCACAGUUUAAUGGCUUUACAUACACUUCCAAGUUACCAUUCAGAAAAUGUGGGCAAAUUUACACUCCCACCAACGAUGUUUGAGCCUGCCUGUUUCCUCACACCUUAGCCAAUACUAGGUAUUAAUCGUAUUUUUAACUUUAGGAAAUCUGAUAUGCAGAAGCGAUUCAUCCAGCAAGUAUGUACGUCAUUAACUUACAAUUCUAAAAAUAUGAAUGAGACUGCUACGGAGGGUCUAUGUGUUUUAGGUUCCUGUGUGUUACGUAUUCCUGCUGAGUUGCCAAUUGGUUCGCUUGGGUUAUUUGUGAAUGUUCUGUUAAUUUAUUAUUUAAAAAAAAUUUUUAACAUUUAUUUAUUUUUGAGAGAGGGAGGGGGAGAGAGAGAGAGAGCGCGCUAAGAAGGGGAAGAGAGAGAGGGAGACACAGAACCUGAAGCAGGUUCCAGGCACCAAGAUGUCAGCACAGAGCCCGAUGUGGGGCUUGAACCUACAAACCGUGAGAUUAUGACCUGAGCGCUCAACGAACACAGCCACCCAGGCACCUCUGUUCUGCUAAUUUAUAAGAGCCUUUUAUAUUUAAGAAUACUGACUCUGUCAUGUUACAGGGUUGUCUUCGCUAUUUUAAUGUCUCCCUUUCCUUGGCCAGACUUGUCUGCUUUAUGCAGUCAAGUCUGACCACGUAUUUUUCUUCAUAGUUGCUGUCCUUGGAGUUGUGCUAAGAAAAGAAUGCUGAGAUUAUGACAAUAUCCCUGUGCUAGCGAUCGACUUAAUUGUGCUUCUGCUGUGGCGUCCACUCUGUCACAGUGGGUGGGACGUCCUGACGGGUUUUCGGUUGCCAUAGACGCAGCGCCCAGCUUCAGGAGUCGGGGCUGCUGUAGGGCACGUGACAAGGGACACCGCCCGUCCUGGUCUGGGAGGGCCCUGUUUGUUCCUUCACCCUUGCUCUGCGGGGUCUGUGGCGGUAGGACGAUGGGCACACGCAGAGGGACAGGCCGGCCUCGCAGCUCCUCCCAGACCCCUGCGGACCAUCUUUCCUGCCGCCCUGCACCUGGGGCCGACUGGUUGGGCACCUUCUCAGGGACAGGCCCUUCUGAGUCUGAGGAUACCCUCCCUUAGCCCCGGGGUCCCCUUCACUGCUCUCUCUCCACCUUCACCCUUGCUCCCCGACCACAUGGACUGUUGUAGUUCAAGUUCCUCUGUUUAAAUGACUGGCUGGACCCAGGCUGGCACCGUUGCCUCCUGUGUUCUCCCAGGCUUUGUGGUGCUGAUAUCCUUGAUAUUUACAUCUUGAACCCAUCCUGGGUGGCAUGUGUUAAAGCUCUGACUUCGUGCUUUCCCAGGGAGCUCGUGCACUGUCCCCAAACCUCCCAUGUGGCUCUGCAUUGACCGUCUGUCGUGUGCACCACACAUCACGACUCUCAGGAUUUCUGGGCACCCCACUCCGUUCCGCUGAGGUUCUGUCUGUUCCUGAGCCACAAGUCUAGAGCCGGGAGCUUCAUAACACACCGCUUGCCAGACCCCCUCUCAUGUCUGUGUUCCGAGAGGACAUCUCAACAACCACCAUCCACUCCCUUUCUCCCCAACAUAGAUGAUCUCGGUCCACAACAACGUUUAAAGAUAGCAAUACAAAGACCGACGUCCUGGAAAACUAAAAAUUCUAACUUCCCAGGAGCAGAAAGGAAUAAAUAAAGAAUUAACGUCCCAAAUGCAGCUUCAAACCAGGAAAUGAUGCACCGAGACUGGUUUGGAACAACAGGAGCAGCCCCCUCCGCUCUGCAGAGAACGGGACAGGGCAAAGCGGCAGAAGCCCCAUCGUGGAAUCGCACGUGGGAGCCUCACUCUCACCCUCACCCUCCUCCAGAGGCCUGUUAUCGUCCUUCUCUCCUCCUUCACUGGUUACUCAGAAGACGUGGGGUCUUUCCCUCCCGGCCAGGGCUAACCGGCCCUCCCCGCGCUCUUGACCUCAGGCUGCCACCUAUGGGGGGUGGACCCUGGGCAUAUAUAUCCUGCGGGUUCUGUUUCUCUGGGGAAUCCCGAUGGGUCCAUAGGCCGUGAGGUUAUGUUUCUUCAAAGUUCAUCCUGUUAGACAACAGUAAGGUUUGGACACUCAUUUUUCAGGCUCAAUUAGACUUUCAUUUUUUGGUGGGAGUAUAAGGGAAAAAACCACAUCACCUCUAAGUUAAUAUUUAAAUGUGUUCAUUUUAUUUGGCACUCCUUGAAUAAAGAGAUUCUUCUUUAUA